AGUGAACGCUGGCGGCGUGCCUAACACAUGCAAGUCGAACGAUGAUGGAGGAGCUUGCUCUUCCUGAUUAGUGGCGCACGGGUGAGUAAUGCAUAGAUAAUGUGCCCCUUAGUUCGGGAUAGCCACUGGAAACGGUGAUUAAUACCGGAUACUCCUUCUUAUCAUAAGAUAAGUCGGGAAAGUUUUUCGCUAAGGGAUCAGUCUAUGUUCCAUCAGUUAGUUGGUGAGGUAACGGCUCACCAAGACAAUGACGGAUAUCUGGUUUGAGAGGAUGAUCAGACACACUGGAACUGAGACACGGUCCAGACUCCUACGGGAGGCAGCAGUGAGGAAUAUUGCACAAUGGAGGAAACUCUGAUGCAGCAACGCCGCGUGGAGGAUGACGCAUUUCGGUGUGUAAACUCCUUUUAUUAGGGAAGAUUAUGACGGUACCUAAUGAAUAAGCACCGGCUAACUCCGUGCCAGCAGCCGCCGCGG
rnacentral:rRNA from 1 species